CCCUUAGAGUUUGAUCCUGGCUCAGGACGAACGCUGGCGGCGUGCUUAACACAUGCAAGUCGAACGGGCCUUAAGGAAUAGAUUGCUAUGAAUUAAGGUUAGUGGCGGACGGGUGAGUAACACGUGGAUAACCUGCCUGACACACCGGGAUAACACGGUGAAAACAGUGCUAAUACCGGAUACGUUCUUUAGGCCGCAUGGUCUAAAGAAGAAAGGGGGAACCCGGUGACAGAUGGAUCCGCGGCUGAUUAGCCAGUUGGUGGGGUAAAGGCCUACCAAAGCGACGAUCAGUAGCCGGCCUGAGAGGGUGAACGGCCACACUGGAACUGAGACACGGUCCAGACUCCUACGGGAGGCAGCAGUGGGGAAUCUUCCGCAAUGGGCGCAAGCCUGACGGAGCAACGCCGCGUGGGUGACGAAGGCCUUCGGGUUGUAAAGCCCUGUCAAAUGGGAAGAAAGGAAUGACAGUACCAUAAGAGGAAGCCACGGCUAACUACGUGCCAGCGGCCGCGGUAAUACGUAGGUGGCAAGCGUUGUCCGGAAUUACUGGGCGUAAAGGGCGAGUAGGCGGUUAAUUAAGUCAGGUGUGAAAACUGUGGGCUCAACCCAGAGAGUGCACCUGAUACUGAGUAACUUGAGUGCAGGAGAGGGCAGUGGAAUUCCUAGUGUAGCGGUGAAAUGCGUAGAUAUUAGGAGGAACACCAGUGGCGAAGGCGGCUGCCUGGACUGUAACUGACGCUGAGGCGCGAAAGCGUGGGGAGCAAACAGGAUUAGAUACCCUGGUAGUCCACGCCGUAAACGA
rnacentral:rRNA from 1 species